rnacentral:misc_RNA from 1 species
CAGAGUAUCAUGCCCUUCGGGGUAGAUCUCCCACCCUGUGUAUUAUAUACCUUUUGUUGCUUUGGCGGGCCGCCUCGGCCACCGGCUCCGGCUGGUGCGUGCCCGCCAGAGGACCCCAAACUCUGAAUGUUAGUGUCGUCUGAGUACUAUCUAAUAGUUA